rnacentral:rRNA from 1 species
GACGAACCGUCCAAACGUUAUUCGGAAUCACUGGGCUUACAGAGUUCGUAGGCGGUCUGGAAAGUUGGGUGUGAAAUCCCUCGGCCUAACCGAGGAACUGCGCUUGAAACUACCAGACUCGAGGGGGAUAGAGGAAAGCGGAACUGAUGGUGGAGCGGUGAAAUGCGUUGAUAUCAUCAGGAACACCGGUGGCGAAGGCGGCUUCUGGGUCUUACCUGACGCUGAGGAACGAAAGCCAGGGGA